CUGCGUAGGUGGCACCACUAGCACAUACAGUAAACAAACCUCAUUGACAUCAUCAAAGACACAUCAUGCGUCUAGUGACGCAUGUGAUUGACCUAGUGGUCAAUCAUAUGGCCUACCGUGAAACACGACAGUCGAAAGUUCGGCUUCGGCCUCUCUAUCACUCUUGCUUAUUCGAUCGAUAGAGAGGCCACCAGGCCACCUGUAAACAAACUGCUUUGGUGCAUCAAUGUCAUAGUGAAAACUUGUCAAAAAACUGUUUAAGGCCUAGUAUGUAUAAGUUACUCUAUGGUUUACUAAACAAAUUAGUGCUGCACUCUGGCGGCAGAACAUUGCAGUAAUACUCCCUAUUACGUUUAUCAGUUUAUGAUCACAAUUAACACCCCAGUUAACCACAAAAUAUGUGGAAAGACCGUUACGGUAUAUUUAUCGGCAAAAGCUAUUUUUUUACAACUAGCGAGGUAAUGUAAAGCGUUCAUCACAUUCCAAAUCACUACUUAUAUUAUAAUCAGAUAAAUUAUAAACUGUAAAAAUACCUAUGUAACGGAACCGCACUGAGCAUUUUUUUACGGCGAGUGGCAUAUUAAUAAGGCUAUUUGAGACCCGUGGGGUUAUUUGGAAACGCAUUGAAUGUUAAUACCGUAAAACGGGGUGACUUGAACUCUUCGAUUUUUCUUUAUUUUGUUUUUAACAGUUUACCAAAACUUAUCAAUAUAGCUAACUAGGUAAGAAUUAUAACUAACUAAAACUAAUAAUGAUCGAGUACGGUUUUUAACUGACAAACGUACGAGUAUCUCUACCAACGCCGAUUAAAAAGUAAAAUAGAAUCGGGUAAAUCGAACGUAAUGUCCCUUAUUCAUAAAACUUUACGGGCCUGAUUAGUUAAAUUAUGUUGUAUCCCUUUCUUACAAUUACAUAAGCCAUAAUGACAGAUAAGGACAAACUAUUAUUAGCUAAUUGAGGUUUGUGGCGCGUUUAUGAAUAACGUAAGUCCCGACUGGUGUUUUUAAUAAACGAUUUGAAACGAAGUUGACUCCUUAUUUUCAAUAAAAUCACCCCGAAUCAGGUAGGUACCAUUUUAAAUGCUAAUUUCGUUUCCUGUUGUUUCAAAUAACCCCAGGGGAGGGGUCACAUUCUCGACCACACAUUUUAACCCUAUACCAGGCUGACAGUUCAAAAAUGACAAUCGAAUUUCAGUCUUACUGAUCGAAAAUAGAACACAUGUUUGAAAUGCCGUAUGUGGGAAGUAUAUAUCCCUUAGCCUGGUUAAGGGUUAAAAUAUUCGUCGUUGCGACAAGUUAUACUUUUGUACACUUCACAACAGUUGCAGACGUUGCAGUGUCUUCUAAAAACCAUUUCAAGUUCACAUUAUUUACAUUAUUGCUACUAUAUAUUAUAUAGAAACUGUCGUAUCACUUCGAUAUUAUUUACCUAAUGGGUAAAUUAUGUGUUGCAAUGUUUAACAGAAUAUAACUAUUUCUUGCACAUAGUUACACUUAUGAUUAUAACCAAUGAGCUAACUAUUACCAGCUAUUACUUACUGAAUUUCCGGCAUUAUUAAGAUGCAAUAAAUGUCCUAUGCAUAAUCACUUGUAUAAAAUAGGAUUAAGACAUGUAAAAUGGGGUGAGUUAGCCAACGAAUUACCAAUUAUUCAAUUUGUAUACCCGUAUUUAUCAUUAUUUUCCGGGAUCGAAUAACUCAAUGUAAUGAAGAAAAUAUUUAUUAAGUAUAAUACUUUUAAGACUAGCUAGGUGUCUAAGUAGCCCCGUUUAUACUAAUGGCUAAUGUCACCCCAUUUUACAAAAGCAACAGCAACAAAUAAUAUAAAUGUCGCAGCCAUUUGGUUAAGUUAGCCAGCUAAUCAGUCGCCUAGGCCGAUAGAAAAUCACCUUGACAUAUGGGCCUAUGAAAACUUAAAAACUUAAAGAAAUGAAAUGAAAUAAAAUAAUAAUAAUUAAUACAUCACAACACCUUAUAAAACAAAGUCCCUCGCCGCGUCUGUUUGUAUGUUCGCGAUAAACUCAAAAAACUACUGAACCGAUUUUCAUGCGGUUUUCACCAAUCAAUAGAGUGAUUUUUGAGGAAGGUUUAAAUGUAUAAAUUGUUAACCCGUGCGAAGCCGGGGCGGGUCGAUAGUUUACAAUGAAAUAUUAACCAAAAUAACUAAAUGACUACACGACGGGCCGGCAUCUCGUUAAACGUUGCGAUCAAUGACUUGGCUGGUUGUUCUUCAGCCAACUAAUUA